AAGGCGACCAUGUUUCAUUGAUUUUGUUCUCUACGCGGCAAGAAGACACAGGAACAUAGGCAGACGCCUACUUCGUUGAUUGGAAGACAUUCAUUACAUUUUAUCGCCACCCGUGCAACGUUCACCGGCCAGGGCCUUCCAAAUGCUCACCGAAACGCGAUCCCUACAGGCUUGUAUGAAUAUUGGAGCUCCUUGUACGGCUUGGAAAUCAUCUAGAACUCGGCCUAUGGUGAUAGACAAUGAAGGCGAAAUAUGCAGUUUUUCAAAAGCUAGAGCUUGCUCCAAAAGCCCAACUGCGUAUAGUCAAACAGGAUCAAGGAUAAUAUUUCUGAAUCGUAUAUUUCUGGUACGAUCGAUAUCGAGCCAGCAAUCAAAGCCAAGAAUCCAGGAGAAACCAAUAGAUUUCGUCGUUGGAAGCCCGUGGAGUCCAAACAGGUCACCGUUACGAAAUUCGAGAAAUCUAAAACCACAAGAGCCUUCUUCCUAUUUAUUACGCUGUACAAUUGGAAUACUGUAGUUCAGUGUAACCGCAAACGCCAGCUUGCACAUCGAUCGUCCUACUUCCGUACACUUCGGUGAGUAUACUACACUUUUCGUUAAUUACUUCGAUUAGAGAACUAAAAACUAAAAACAAAAAAAAAUGAAAAAAAAAAAAAAAAUCAUCAUAAUAAUAAAUCUCUUAAGCCCAUUAGCCAUGGCUUAGAACAGCCAAUAGAUGGACACAUGAAGUGUGUGUGCGGACCAAAUUGUAAGGCGAUACCUAAACUUGGAGAGGGUUGAUGCGAUGUUGCGAAGGUUGGAAAAGCCCUGCAUGAACUGAUGAAACUGCGCAUGAUGGCAACGUGUGUGUUGAACCAGGACUACUGCAUGUGUAAGAGACUUGAGUAGAAAUAUUAGGAAACCUUAUUUGGGUCGAGUGUGAUACUCGACCUUUAUUUCGUGUUUCGUGUUUGUUUUCAGAAGUUUAAAGACCCUGGGCCGGGGCGGUACUGUCGCACCGACGGAUGUCGUCAGACGCCGUGUCUGGAGCCUAAAAUAAAAGCCUCUACACAGACGCUCUGCUCACGGUCGAGCUAAAAUAAAAGAGACCGAAGAAAGAGAUGAACCAAAAGACUGAACGAGCCCCUCCGUCUUUCGAUGAGCAGAGCCUCACAAAUUGUGAGAUCGAAAGAGAGAGGAGACUGGUGAUAUUUUCUUUUUGUUUUCUAGCAGGAUGGAAAGAAUGAAAGAAACCGGCAGAGAGAAAGAAGAAAGUCUUGACUCAUCGUGACCUUCUCUCGGAGAGAUCUGACGUCGUUUCUUGGUCAAAACUUUCUCUGUUGGUCUCGAAAUUAAAGUCGGCAGACAUGAUCUUUUCUUCUCUUCUUUCGAUUCUCUUCUUUCGAUUGGAUUUCAUUUUUCUUUUCCUUUUUUUUUCGUGUCUGAUUUAGGGCAAGGGGCCGUCUCAUGUCAAACACGAGCGGCUGCUUUCGAUUUCGUCUGUCCCUAUACCGGAACGGCAGUUUACCUGCAACACGAAUGUCGCACGAAUCGAAUCAACGACUUCCAUUUGAUCAGAGACCAAUAGCAACAAUAAAAAUAAAAAAAAAAAAAAAAAAAAAAAAAAAACAGCGAAUGAAUGAAACCAUCCACUCCCUUCUCACGAAGUCACGCCAUGCACAGGAUAAAUCCUAAUUUCAAUGUUCAGACCCUAAUCAAAACCUCGUCGGCCGUCUGGUAGACAAGUGAAAGAAUGUCAGCCGGAUAUAAUUCAUUCCAUGGUGAAGGACCUUCUUGGAUAGAUUCACGCCUGUAUUUUUCACAAUACACGAUUGGCAUCAAGGUCGUCAAACGACAUAAAGUUGCGGUCAAGUUAGUUUCUUUCUCAUCCGGUCUGACUGCUUUCUGAAAACGUAAAAAAAAAAAAAAAGACAAUAAGAACAUUCUCUCGGGAAUUGUCUGCCUGCCGACAAGGUGUACAGCCAGAACCCAAAACUGCAACUAUAUGCUCUGAGUUAUUGGUUCCCCUGGAAGAAAAAGAAAACAUGACUAAUUCUCACUGGUGAGUCAGACUACUUACGCCAACAAUAAUCCCACUCAAAAAAUUUUAAAAAGAACAAAAAAAAAAAAAAGGGCGUCGAACCUUUGUUGCGAUGAGCUUGAAAACUCAAACCUGUCGUCGGUCCAUGUUAUUUUUCGCGGAAAAUAAACAAAUACAAUUUGAAAUUUGACAAGCUUUCGACCCUGAACCGCCAGGAAUAAAUAGAUCAUCGACC